GGUCUCUACAACCCAUUCACUCUCUCCGGCAACAUCAUGGUUAACAACGUGGAGGCUUCCUCUCACAGCGAGUGGUUCCUGGACUCCCUCUUUGAUGCCAUUGGCGCAACUGAGUACCUCCCAUAUGCAUACCAGGCGGUGCUCGCUCCACUUCGUGCCAUCUACAACAUUGUUGGGAAGGAAAUCUAUGGAAAGGGUUAUGCUGCCGUCAAUUCUUGUGUCAACGUUGCUGAAUUUGGAAUGAAGCACGGAGGAAGCAUUGCUCUCACCAUUGGAAUCGAUGGAGUUGCAACAGCAAUGCUGGCCACGAAGGCUUGAGCAAAAAUCAGGAGUAAAUAAGAGAGAAAUAAUCACAAUCCAGAUCAGGUCAAUGUAAAUCUCCAGAACAAGAAUGAAAGAAAUGAGUGAAGAAACUGUGUGAUGUCAAACAAAAGCUUCAUUUCAUGACAUGCAUCACAAAGAUGCAUAAAUGUUAAGUUUCUCAAUUGUAUAGGGGGUUUUAAAUGUAUAGUAAAGAUAGUUGGGCAUAGUUGACCAACCUAAGGUAUAAUUUAGCUUUUGUUUGUGUUUUUGUCAUUGUUUUGUGUUUGGAUUGGGUGUAAGCUUAAAUUCUAUACCAUGUUAGUUGGUGGAGUAUUUAUAUCCUCGCGUUAGACUACUAAUAUGUUGAAAUAAUAUGAAAUUUCAUUUGGUUUUGUUUUGCGUGUUAAUUUUAGCAUUGGGAUGGUAAAUGCUCUAAUGUUGUUUUAAGUUGUUUCACAUUCCUAUCCCUUCACUUUUUGGGCUGUACAUUCAAGAGUCCAUUCUGUGCUCUUGUGCCAUUACCCUUUUAACCCUAUCUUAGGAGUUUGGCACUAUUCCUUCAUUCAAUGGCUUAAGGCCCUGAAACUCAAGUUUUGCACCAUUGUCCUUAGGACACAUGGCAUGUGAUAUAUGGCACAUGUGCUUCAUGGUUAUCAUAUGGUAAAUCAUCAUAGGAUAAAAGGUAAAAAUCAUGUGAUAUAAAUUUUUAUAUUCGAUGCACUCAUAUUGACGGAGUUGAAGAGUAGCCUUGAUUGUCUUUGAGGAAUGCUUAGAUUUAUGUUUUUAAUUUAGAUCAAGUUUUUGGUUUAGAUAAUUAGUUUAAUUAUUUGAUGUUAUGUGGUUGCAACUAAAUAAUUAAUUUCAGUUGAUGGUGAUAUUCAUGGCAAAUGGUGCAACUCUUCUAACUCUUUCUACCCAUCUUUAUAUCUGGUAAAAAGUUUUUUGUAGAAAUCCCAAAGAUGAUAAUGAUUAUUGGUUCAAUCACUUUACAUUGAUUGCCAAUUAUUAUUUUUGAAAUGAUAUCUAAUAUUUACACAAGUUUUUCACAUAUCUCCAAAAGACAUUGUUGUAGUGGUACAAUGGUUUAAGUGUGGAACCUCCUCCCAAAUGUCUUCAAGCAUGCAUUUAGAAAUGUUGAUAAUUGUGAUGAUGCCUUCUAACAAUUGCAUCAUCUUUGUUAGGGACCAUCUAAGUCAGUUAUGCAAUUUAAUGUUUGAAUCUAAAGCCUCUUACUUUGUGUAGAGUUUAAGUAAACAAAAAUCAGAAUUUUCAAAAGAAAUAUAAAAUGAUUUGCUACACUUUAGGUGUACCAAUGCUUUGUUUGUUUAAUAGUAGUGCUUAUUAUUUAUUAAUCUAAUUGAUCGAUAGGAAGUUUAUAAUUUCUAAACACGAGAUUAAAUUUAUUACACAUUAACCAUUAAAUGUUCUAGCAUUAAAUGGUAGAAUAUCCUAGAAUAUUUAAAUAUAUUCUAAAUAUCUACUACCAAAUCUAAAUGGACAAUCUAUAUUAUCUCACUUAAGUAAGUGAUAAACUAACUUUCCAUUAGCUAAACAAACAUCCAUAAAUUUUUUAUUGAAAUCAUGCAAAUUGAACCUGCCUCAAGGCCUACAACUGGACAACCUGUGUGCCUUGGGCCAUUAUCACUUUAUUGUUAUAGAUAGAAUUGUAACAAAAAAAGUGUAAAGAAUAAAUAGAAAUUUCUAUGUUGUACAUAUUGAUUUUUUUCAAGUCAUCUACAUAUAGGAGGAGCUAGAACUAAGACAUAUCUCAUUUUAUAGCUAUUAAAUAUUAAAUUUAAUGCUUAAUCUAGAUUUAUACUUAUCAUUAUAUUCUAAAAUAUAUUACCCUAAACCGUAAAUAUCAAAUAAUAUUUAAGAUAUAACCCCUACUGAUUGUUUAACACCAUAUCAAUGUUUUUCAUAUCUUCAAUACAGUGCAUAAACAGCAAAGAAAUAUCUAACUUCCAACCAGUUUUCAGCUUCUGGACAUAUCACACUUACAUCAUCACUGAAGUUGAACCCAAUUUUUGCUAUAAAAUGUCCAUAUUCCUAAACAUAAAUAUUUAGAUACUUAAAUAUAAAAAUAAAAAACUCACAAAGUAUGAUGAUGAAAAAUUGCCAAAUAAUCAUCCAAUCCAGCCAACCUUGAAUCUGUAGAAAAAAUAAAAUAACCUGACUCAGAAUACUUAAGGCUCAUCCCAAGUGCUAUACGUCUUAUAUGUUGAAGUUCAAAUUCAGUAGUUUUAAGAAUCCUAGCUGUUUGUAAAGCUUCCAGCACUUCCUAAAAAACAUAAAGAAUAAAAUUUAUAAGAAAUUUCAAAUGAUAUAAUAUAAUACCAUGAUAGGAAUGUUGUACAUUGAUUUCCUACUUUGGAUCAACGUAGACAGUUUAGUCCCAGGGUCCUUUUGUAAAUGCCGCUCUUAAAGUACAAAAACAUUUUAGAUUAAAAGCUAAAAAUAUUUGCUUGCCGAGAAUGAUCCUAAACAUCGCCUGUGUUGCCCAUCUCAUCACGUUGUUAGCUAAGCAAUUUGGAUUUUCACAAAGCAUCGUUGUAAGGCCGCCACACUUGGUUUUUGAGCACGGAAUGUAUUUUGCAUUAGCAGCCAGCACAGCAGUGGAGAAUAAACAUUCACCAACCUUAGUCUGUGAAAGAACAGUAGUAAGCAUCACAGAAACGAUACUGAUUUACCUGAUAUUCUGGCAUGACAAGAAAAGUGAUUUACCUUAGAUUUUGGCUCGAGCAGCAUUGUGUCCUGAGAAUUGGUGACCUUGUCCAAUGUACCCCCACAAUCCUGUAAAAAAAUGAAAUGGAAUUAAUCUUCACGAGUAAUAAGGAAGAAUGAUUUACUUGCGACUUGAGCAACAUCAUCUCUGUUAUUCCCUCUGAAUGCAUUAUGUCACAUACGGCCGCGUCCUUGGCCACCCUGCCCUGGACACCAAGCUUGUCCCAAAGACGAUCGUCAAAGACUGCCUUGGCAGGGACAAGCUUGGUGCCAGCCACACACGCCAGCACGUCGUAUAGAGCAUCUUCGGCGAAAAAGAGGCCCAUCUUUCUAUUGAUGCCAAUACCGCGGAGAUCCACCACGACGCACUUUCUGAUCCCGAUCGCGUCCACAGCGUUCAGCUCCUUGACAGGAUCCUCUCCACGGUCAUGAGACGCCUGGACGAACUUCCUGGCCGACAGUGUCAUGGGCAUGCCCCGGAAGUCGUCGUAGUUGACGACCCAGUCCAGAGAGCCAUACUGCAAUGCCUUGGUGGGAACCGCCAGAAGGAUGUAGCCAGUGGAGACCCGAUUCUGCCAGAUGGAUUCCUUAUAGACGAGGACUUGUUUAGCAUCAAGCUCUCCUAAAGUUCCAUCGAUCACGAAUUCCGCCGGAGGACCCCGACACCGCAGGCCGAGCUCGAACGUGGAAAUGCAGCCCACGGCUUCGAUGCUCCUGAUCUGGCAUGGCUCCAGCGGCGUCAUUGAAGGCUCCAUUUCGUUGUCGUACAAGUAGGCUGGAAUGCUCCAAGGCGCUCCCCAGUAAAGGGCAUUUGCAUGUGUACGACGCUGCUUGGGGCAGAUGUUUCCAUGAGCGUAGCUCAGGUGAUCAAGCAACGUCGUGUCGGGGCAGCCGCAUGCAGUCAACUGCCGGUUGUAGCAGAUAUCGCAGAAGAGGAACAAGGAGGUGGUGGUGUUAUCGUAGACGAGCUUGAGAGGAGGAGCAGGAGCACGAGGCCGAGCUCGAACCCGAGCUCGAGUUUCCGUGAGCGUGCCACAUCCGCGGGCAACUCCAAUGUUAGCUGCGCUCUUGCGCUCUUCUACUCACUCACCUCCAAAAAGCCGCCGCCAGAACAUGCCGCCCAACCAGGAGCAAGAGUUUAUCUGCGAGUGUGCUGGGCAGAUCCACUUAUCCGCGAGUGUGCUAGGCAGAUCCACCGAUAGCUAUAGACACUUUUAGGGCAAGGUUCUUAGAAUAUUCCUUGAAACUCCAUAACUCGUUUUAUUUUGCUUUCAUUCUUUAUAUAAAAAGUUAAUCUUUAUAAUGAACAUGCGGCGACCUCAAACUCAUGAGAGAUCUCGAAAUUGGAGACAAGGUAUUGUAUUGCUCUUAAGUUUCUCGAAAGCCCAUCUAAACGUGCCAGAUCUAUAGGUUGCAGUGAGCAAAAACGUGUUCUCGGAUGUCUACGCAUUCGGCCACAAGGACGCCGAUGUGAUCUCCGAGUUCAUCCAGGUCCACACCACCUCAGACAUGAUCGAGCUUAGCGAGGGCCACUUCAUCCCAGUCGACGCUAAGGGAAAGCUUGUGUACAAGAGAGCCAAGGAUCUCUAGGUUGGAGAAACUCUCUGGGGAUCAUCUCAAAUCACUAGUAACAUCAUACUUCCUUUGAGACUUUGCUCUUAUUUUUGACAAUUAUAGAACUUUCCAAGGUGGAGAAGCUGGGUCUCUACAACCCAUUCACUCUCUCCGGCAACAUCAUGGUUAACAACGUGGAGGCUCCCUCUCACAGCGAGUGGUUCCUGGACUCCCUCUUUGAUGCCAUUGGCGCAACUGAGUACCUCCCAUAUGCAUACCACGCCAUGCUCGCUCCACUUCGCGCCAUCUACAACAUCGUCGGCAAGGAAAUCUAUGGAAAGGGUUAUGCUGCCGUCAAUUCUUGUGUCAACGUUGCUGAAUUUGGAAUGAAGCACGGAGGAAGCAUCGCUCUUGCUGGUGGAAUCGCUGGAGUUGCAACAGCAAUGCUGGCCACGAAGGCUUGAUGAAAAACCAGAAGUAGAAUAAAAUGUAAAUUUCAUUAACAUAUUUUAUGCUUUUGAUUAUUCCCCAUAUAUUCUCAAUGGUUUAUUGUUUGUUUAGUGGAUAUACCUAGAUAUUUUAGAACUUUUUACCAUCUAAUGGUUGUUAUUCCUUUAGAUUAAUCUCGUGUUUAUAAUUUAUGAUUAAAGCAUACUCUAGCUUAUCUAGCUUUUAUACCAUUAGGUUAAACUUGUGGUUGUUAAAAAAGUUCUUAAACAUGAUGGAAAGUGUAUUGUGUGGUUUAUAUGCUCAACUAGGAAAAACAUUUUCUUGUAAUACAUAAAUCAUAAUAAUUUGUUAUAAUACAAACUAAGCAAACCCAACUUUUCUAAAAUGUAAUGUGUCACAAUUUAUUAUUAUUUAUCUAAAAAAAAGGCUUGAUGUACCACAAGUAAAAUAAAAUAAAAUUUCAAAAAAUAGAAAAAGAAAAGAAAACUUUUGAUUAUUCCCCUUCUUUCUUUAUAUCCAACUCCCAAUUUUAUAUUAUAAAUGGUUCAUUUGCAUCUUGGUAGUUGAUAUACCUAAAAUAUAGUUGAAUAUUCUAGAAUAGUAAUAGUAAUUUAAUGGCUAUUAUUUAUUUAUAAUAAUUUUAUCAUUAAAUUUAAACAUGGUUAUAAUUUAUAAAAUUUUCCCAAACACCUUCUAGCUCUAACUAUUAUACCAUUAGAUAAAUCUUGUGUUUAUCAAAAACAUUCUUAAAAAUAAUAAUUUAUUAUUAUUUUUCUAAAAAUAUUAUUAUAAUGCUAUUAAAUAAUAAUAGUAUCUUUAAAUAUGAAUCUAAGUAUAUUUAUAUUUUAAUUAAUAUAUUAAAUUAAGUGAUUAGUUUCAAAAUUUACAAAAUUUGUUUCAUUAAUUUAAUGAAAAUUACUUUUGUGAGUGUUUGGAAUAUGGAAAGGGAAUAUAAAAAAUAUGCCCCAAAAACCCUAAUUUAUAUAUAGAAGCGAGUGGUUUGGAUUGAAACCAAUCCAAUGGCUACCAAAAUCCCACUAUGCUAAUAUUAAUAUACGGCAUAGUAGCCAUACACUUGGCCCUCACAUCAUCCCCUCCUCUUGGAAUAAUGGAAAACCAUCAGGGUUCUCUUGUAAACGGGCCGGGAUCUGGAGGAACGUCAAGAGGAGGCAUCGGCAGAUCUGUAAGUGGUAUUAAUUGUUCCUGAUCCUUUUGUAUGAAGUGUUUCAACUGCUGCACAUGCACAAUCUCUGGAGGAUCGGCCUGUUGGACGUCAUGCCGAACCUCAUAAACUUGUGGUCUAACUUGCCGCAACACCUGAUACGGUCAUUUCCACUGCGCAAGAAGCCCCUUAGAUAAACCACGUACUGUAAGAUGGGGAAAAUGGACUAACACCAAAUCAUCCACUUUGUACUCUGCAGGUGAACGAUGAUAAGAGUUGUAGCGCCGUUGUUGUCCCACUUAUACGUAACCUAAGUGUUCGGCAGACUCAGUUUGGACAAGUGGAAGAAUGCUUGUCAAAUACUGAUCCCACGACCUAACAUCGGCAGCUCGUGGCAAUUGCGAAGGUAAACCUAGCUUUGUUGAUAAUAUUGGAUCAUGACCAUAUAGGAGUUUAUAUGGUGAAGCACCAACAAAACUCUACACCCCUGUGACAUAUGCAUAUUGAAGAGACGGCAAAUAACCAUCCCAAUUAGAAUGUUGAAAGUUCACAUACUUCGCAAUUGUAGCGCACGUGGUUUUUACCCUUUAUCCUAUGGUGAUUUACCAUAGGAUAACACCAUGAAGCAGAACCUAAACCCUCUUUGUGCCACGUGACAGAUGCCAUGUGUCAUAUGCCACGUGUCCAAAGGNNNNNNNNNNNNNNNNNNNNNNNNNNNNNNNNNNNNNNNNNNNNNNNNNNNNNNNNNNNNNNNNNNNNNNNNNNNNNNNNNNNNNNNNNNNNNNNNNNNNNNNNNNNNNNNNNNNNNNNNNNNNNNNNNNNNNNNNNNNNNNNNNNNNNNNNNNNNNNNNNNNNNNNNNNNNNNNNNNNNNNNNNNNNNNNNNNNNNNNNNNNNNNNNNNNNNNNNNNNNNNNNNNNNNNNNNNNNNNNNNNNNNNNNNNNNNNNNNNNNNNNNNNNNNNNNNNNNNNNNNNNNNNNNNNNNNNNNNNNNNNNNNNNNNNNNNNNNNNNNNNNNNNNNNNNNNNNNNNNNNNNNNNNNNNNNNNNNNNNNNNNNNNNNNNNNNNNNNNNNNNNNNNNNNNNNNNNNNNNNNNNNNNNNNNNNNNNNNNNNNNNNNNNNNNNNNNNNNNNNNNNNNNNNNNNNNNNNNNNNNNNNNNNNNNNNNNCACUUAGGAUUCCGUCCUUAUGCUUAUCCGGCCAAGUACAGAUGCAAAGUCCAGUUUACUAACACUUGAACAAGAGGGGCUGAUAAAGGGUCCAGCAAUACCGACCUCCUGCCAUCGUGGCAAUAAGGUAAGAGUGUCUGUAAGGACUGGUCGACAGGUAACUUUCGAUACCCGAAAGUCACAUGCGCGACACUCUCCCCCCCUAGGGAAGAUCGACGUCCUCGUCGAUGCAUACUCGAGUCUAGAAUACCGUCAAGAAAACAACUCCAGAAAAAGUUCACGGUACUCACACUAUGUGAGAAAUGCACCAACUUAAAUGAGUUAGGAGGCAACCUCUUUGUCUAACGCGGAUGUGCUACCAGCUCAGACACCUUCCAACCGUCGCUGACAAGGAAAUGACCAACGGAGUCAGCCACCCUUGCUGCUCUGGGAGUCACCCAGCUCACAAAAGUGUGAUAUGCCCUGCCCGCAGAGACAUAGAGAGAGGAACUAGAGGCCCCAACCCUCAUGAGCAAAGAAACCAAACCCGUUGGUAAGGUUUAGAUAGACUACUGUAAACAGGCAGUUAGAGUUGUUUACACAGUCACGCCCUUUCAACGAAAUAAGGAACAUCGACAGAGAGGCGGGUGAUGUGACCAGUCGACAGUAGCUACCCCAUGACUAGAGAUUUCACCAUGCACACAAAGUGCCGAAGCCAGUCUGCCCAUUACUGGCCCAAACUCAAAGAACAAUAGAUGGACAAUAUCAAAGUUAUAGACAAUGAUAUCUUAGAGUCGGAAUUAUCAGUGAAUAAAUCUUAUAUUAGAACACACAAGUAUUCCAAGUAUGUUAUCAUCUAAUAAACUAGUAUUAUAGGAUAGGAACCACCAAGAUCACUAUCAUUGGAAAACAUAGGAUUAACCAUCCAACAAAAUUCAAUAGCAAGUAUAUCAUCAAGUAAACUCAAUGAUAAAACUUAACUACCGAAGAUGGUAGACAGGAUGCCAAACAACUUACUAAAGAUAACUCAAAGAACACAAAGUAUCAUUGACUAACAAGCACAAUACUCGCGAAUGUAUCACCCGAAGGAAAUAACAUCCUAAUCUAUAAGAACUAACUCGGGCAAUAAUCAACAGAACAAAAUGAAUGUUGCAAAGUAAGCAAAUAUAGUGUUCAUGCCAAUCAUUGCACUAGCCAAUCCAGAUAGAUCCCAGCCAAUAACACCAAGGAACUCAAGUUGCCUAAGCAAGUGUCAGCAACAUCCUACUGAUGUCUCAAUCCCAAGAGACCAAACCAGAGCAAACCACAAAUAAUAUAUGGUAUUGCGAAAAGCCAUAAGCUAUCAAAGAUAAGAACUAACCAUAAUGAAAGAUCAUCAAAAUUAUCCCAUCAAUAAAGAGAUGCAUAAUCACCAUCUAAGAAGGAAUCCACCAUCCUGAAUAACGGCAAACCAUUCUAUACCAACAAUAAUUAAGCAAAACCUUUUUGACAAGGAUAAUCAACUAUCCCAGAUAAUAGUCAAUCAUCACCAAUGAUUGCUAGAUGCAAAAGCCAACUUCAACAUCGAAGCUAAUAAGUCAAAAUGUCUUCCCCAACAACUUCUAACAAAUGGAACAACGAGCAUAAAACUCAAAGAACCAAAAGUUCGAAGAAGUCUAUAGCCAAGUCUUUCCUAACAAUGAUCACAAGUCUCACAUGAACUAACUUUAAUGCUAAAGAAGAAAUUAUGGUGCAACCCACAACAUUUUCCUCAACACAUCCAUAACCUAAACUUCAUAAUGCAAAGCUAAUGAAGAGCAUACUUGCAUCAAUCUAAAAGCUAAGCAUAACAAAGUUAUGCUCGACAAGUGAUCACCAAACAAUCCUCCAUGAAUCCAUCUAUAACAAGACGUAACUCACUUCAUAACAAACACAAGAAGAACCAUCAAUGAUCGAUAUAUUCCAACUCAAAUCCAAUAAGGAUUCAAACAUUCUAAUAUCAAUCACUAACUCUUCUGCUUGUAGAGUUAGCAUCGUCCAUGACUGAAUACUUUUCAAGGAAAAGCCAAAGCUCAACCUUUACUAAAUAAUCUCGUCUAGAACACAACUAACUCAACUUGUCACUCAGUUUGUUUGAAUGUCANNNNNNNNNNNNNNNNNNNNNNNNNNNNNNNNNNNNNNNNNNNNNNNNNNNNNNNNNNNNNNNNNNNNNNNNNNNNNNNNNNNNNNNNNNNNNNNNNNNNNNNNNNNNGAGACAUCUCAUUUCACUGAAAUCUCAAUAUCAACAAUGUCAAUGACAAGGCAUCACUUCAAUGCCAUCAACACCAGAACAAAACGAGAAGAAAGCAUGAGUGUAUCACCACUCAAAACUCUCUAGCAACUAAGCUAACCAAGGUCGAAGAUACUUUACUCAAUAUCCGAGACCAAUUCUUCAACAUUACUCAGGUACAGAUAACACAUCAUCAAGGAGUGAUUCACCACGUCCAGACUCAAUGAAAUCCAACACCACAAACUAAAUGCAACCAAAUGAUAUCGACAGAGGUAGAGUCGAUAUGCCAACAUGGAAAACCCAUGUAAGUCUAACGACACGAUCCUCCGCAACCCCAUCCGGUAAAGCAAGCCCAUCACUGCUAAAUCAUCAUCAAGCGAAGCAAGUGUCAAAAGCCUUUGACAAAGUCUACAAGUAAUCACUAGUCGCAAAGCAACUAACAAUCACUCUUUCAACUUGCCUUCACAAGACCCAAACACUAAACUCACGUCAUCGAGUCAUACACUUGUCCAACAUAAAUGUGAUACCUCCGGUAUGAGAUAAAAGUACAUAGACAAGCACAAACCAAAUGACCACUCAAAUCCAACUCAACCACGAUAAGCCCACCAAAGCAUUUAGCCAAUAGCUCUGAGCAUGCCUUGAAGAGGCUAGCUAUGCAUGAUCAAUACUCAGCUGAAACUAAAGUGAAGACCAUGAGAUGGAUCCAUAUCGGUACACAACCUCCUCAUGGACAAAGCUAUAAUACGGGUACCAACAUCUCAAACUCAAAGAACUAAGUUGAACAUCACCAUCCUCAGCCAAGACACAAGGCCACCAAGACCAAGUCAAGAUCAGUGAGAGCUCACUACUCUCAUAGAGUCUAACAAAAUGCAAAGUGCAACCUGCCACCAAGCAUAACGCUACAAANNNNNNNNNNNNNNNNNNNNNNNNNNNNNNNNNNNNNNNNNNNNNNNNNNNNNNNNNNNNNNNNNNNNNNNNNNNNNNNNNNNNNNNNNNNNNNNNNNNNNNNNNNNNNNNNNNNNNNNNNNNNNNNNNNNNNNNNNNNNNNNNNNNNNNNNNNNNNNNNNNNNNNNNNNNNNNNNNAGUUUGUAUUGGCUUUCGACAAACGGAAUGGUUUUUGAGCAAAGUGAUAACAGAUCAGCCAUUAGAAAAGUCUAAGAAAAUUUGUGGAAAAAUCUUUCCAUUCUAAAGAAAGAAUGACUCUCAGUCUAGGAAUGCAAACUUUCAAGACUCAACCAAUUUCCUCCUACCAACAACUUCACAUAGGUUCACCUCAACACAAAUUCUCAUGACCCAUAGUAUGCUUAAGCCUCGAACAUCUUUACCCAUCUAACCGAUAUCUAACACCGACAUCCGCAAAAUGCAAAGUGAACACCCAAGGCUUGAUCACGAAGACCACAUCUUCGGAUAUCCAUAUUGCAUUAACACUCUUCUUCAAUCACCUUCAAAAUUCAAUGUGAAGUCAAAACACUAACAAGAAAAAUGACAUGAAAAAUCAAGGUUUAAGGAAAAUUCCUCAUCACUCGAAAUAACAAUGCCACUUCCACUAACACCAGUGCUAGCAAUGUCAAUGCCCCAACUACACACCUUCUCCAUCCAACAAUCUACUCCAAGUGCUAACGGAUCAACAGAUGAGCUAUAGCAAAUGAAUGCUACAACCCAUUUCUAACACCUAAUAGGCAAACUCAAAGAAACAAGGUACCAACAUAAGCUUAGUAUAAUGGACCAUCACUGAGAAUCCAGUCAAAGCUACUACAAUGCUACUUCGUGCAAGUAGACUAGCUUCACUAUCAAGCACUUUGGGGUUGAUCAUCAUUUACCCAAGCAACUUCGUAAACACAUUGCUCACUAUCACAUGGAUAUGAUAUAAGUAUCACAAUGACUUGAUCAUCAAUCAAGCAACACUAUGAGCAAUGCCCAUGUCAUUACUUCAAAGGUUUAUGUGAAUAUCAAGUGUCAACUCGAUUCGACAAAAUGCAACAUAAAUGCCACACCCCACCAAUAGAGAUUUAGAACACCCGACACCACUAACUUUUGUUUACAUCACAGACAAACUCAUGCCACUCUCUUUCUGACCAAUCUCAAAACUAAUCCAACACCAAGCUACACAAGGAGCAAUAGCAAGGUUCCCCGGAAAAGAAUUAAGCAUUGCAACCCAAGUCUUCCAAUAGCAAGCCUAGACAAAAUGGUAUAGCACUUCACCGCUAUCCAUCCCACAACUCACCAUUGUAAUGCCACCAUCUCCAACAUGCAUCAAGAUAGGGACUCUUGAUUGCAUGAUGUGAACACAAGCAAUGAGUUAACACCUCGUUGCAAAUCAUCUCUCCAAGAAGAGAAAAUGAUUUACGUAUUUGAUCCUUCGUCGCCGAUGACUCUCGUUUCGGUCUCAUCUUUGACCAAACCUCAAGCUUGCUUUCGCACUGCCUUCAGUUCAAUCGAAGAAAAGUUUAUGAGAGAGCACGGCCAUGACUACUUGAACCAAUAGACUAAUUCCUAUAAUCUUGAUUGAUCCACUUGUAACCAUGCCUAGGAAGGAUCUACUAGUGCCAUGCUAAACAGCUACGGGCUAGCCUAUUUGCCACUCAUAGCAAACCCAGGGAGGUUUGCUUUCACCCAUGGUACAUGGAACAACUUAUGGAACCACUGGAACCAAUGCGAAGUCUUUGCACCCUAACGUGUACCACUCAGAUCAUCGUUUUCAUCUCUGCGUAUGCAACGAGACUAGUUGCCCAAUCUCAUUGGAUAAUACUCGCCGAGACUCAUUCUCUGAUACCAAAUGUAGCGCACAUGGUUUUUACCCUUUAUCCUAUGGUGAUUUACCAUAGGAUAACACCACGAAGCGGAACCUAAACCCUCUUUGUGCCACGUGACAGAUGCCAUGUGUCAUAUGCCACAUGUCCAAAGGACCGUGGUGUGGAACCUGAGGUUUAGGGCCUUGGGCCACUGAACGAAGGAACGGUGCCAAACUCCCAAACAUGGAGCCAAGGAGUGACGGAACCGAACCAUGAAGCAACUCCCGAGCGUACAGCCCAAGGAGCAAAGGGACAGGAGCCCGGAGUGACUUGGAACAGUCCUAGAGCAACCAGCAUCCCAAUGCCAGGACUAACAUGCAAAAUGGAGCCAAAUGAAGUCUGGCGCUAUUUCGGCAUACCGGUGGCCUAACGUGAGGAUAUGGGUACUCCACCAACUAGCAUGGAAUGGAACUUGGGCUUAGACCCAAGCCAGACACAGAACAAGGACAGGCACGCAAGCGGGAGCUAGACUAUGCCUCAAGUUGGUCAGCCAUGCCCGACCUACCCACUAUCCCUACUAUACAUUUGGAACCCCCCACAGCCCCCCCCCCCCCCCCCCCCCUUGAGGAACACAUGCUUUGGGCUUUCACCCCAAGCCUCCCUUAGUAUCAGGAGUUAGUCUCUGGGACAAGCUCGAAACUUACUAAAUAUGGAAUGUUCUUAGAUUGUGAAUUUGGACACGGGACGAACACCAUUGUGUUCAGGCCGAUCUCUACAUUCCGUAGAUGUGCCAAAUGAGCAAAUCUGGACACUUUCCAUAAAUAGCAUUUGGGACCGAAAUGAGACUAACACAAAGGGCAUGAUAGCGAGGGUGUUUGGCAGACACAGUAAGCUAUCAUGUAGCGAUAUUGAGGGACCAAUCUCAAUACGCGAGGGUUCUUGUCAAGCCAGUGCAAGAUAGAGCAAAAGAGAACUAAAAAGCCAAGCCAAGUAUGCUUGGCUGAAUAGACACUUAGGAAUUCCGUCCUUAUGCUCAUCCGGCCAAGUACAGAUGCAAAGUCUAGUUUACUAACACUUGAACAAGAGGGGCUGAUAAAGGGUCCAGCAAUACCGACCUCCUGCCAUCGUGGCAGUAAGGUAAGAGUGUCUGUAAGGACUGGUCAACAGGUAACUUUCGAUACCCGAAGUCACAUGCGUGACAGCAAUGAUCCCUUUGAAUGUCCGAACGAGCCGUUUCACCAGACUGUCUAAUUGUGGAUGAUAAGCACUCGUGAAAGUGUGGCGUAUCCCCAACCGAGAUGUCAAAACAUGAAAUGCCUCAACCAUAAAUGUGGGACCAUUAUCCGAAAAAAUCCGCUCUAGACAAGAAUGCUAGAACACCACUCGAUUGAGGAGGAAGUAUCCAACAGCAGCUGCAAAGGCACUAGCAAGAGCACCAACUUCCACCUAACAAGUCAAGUAGUCAGAAGCAAUAAUUACAUAUUCAUUGCCAACAGUCGACUAUGGAAAAGGUCUCAUAAGAUCAAACGCCACCAACUCAAACGGACAGGAAACUACAAUUGACUCUAACCAUCCUUCCGCAACACGAGGGGGAGUAUUAUGAGCUUGGCACCAAAUGCAACUAUGCACAUACCGGAUAAUAUCACGUCGCAUCUUUGGCCAAUAGAAAGACUUGUGCAACUUCUUGAUUACAUGACGAUGUCCCAUAUGCCCACCUAGAACAGAAGAAUUAUGGUAGGCAUGGAGAAACCGCAGAAUAAAGACAGAAGGCACCACUAGCCAUAAAUGAUCAUCAGGAUCCAUCCCCAUAAAAUAAAGAAGGCCGUCGUCAAGGCGAUAUUGAGAAUGUAAAUGCUGGAAAGGCAAGUCAUCAGCAAGUGAUGCAGGAUUCUCAAACCCAUCUCGAAGCCUUCAAAUCCACGGCUCAAUCUUUUGAGCCUCACAAAUCUCAUCAAGAGAAGGUAGAUCUUGCUCUAUGCCUUGUGGACAUUGAACGUCAAGUAUAGCAACCGCCGAUAGCAUAGAAUCCUUGUCUAAAAAAUCCAUAGAUGCAUGAGCAACAGGCUCGUCAGAAACAUGAUAAGAGAGUGGAGAAGGAAGAGGAGCUCGAAAAAGGGCAUCAGCAUCAACCAUAGAACUCCUUGGGCAAUGAAUAACAUUAAAAUUAUAUAUCUGAAGCUUCAAAGCCCAUCGAGCAAUACGACCAAUCAGGUUCUUCUACUUCAAUAAUGAAGUAAUAGUAGCAUGGUCACUUUCAAGUAAUGUCCGAGAACCAUGUAAAUAUACAUGAAGUUUCUCGAAACCCCAGACUGUCGCUAAACACUCCUUUUCUGUCAUGGAGUAGUUUAUCUCUGCUAGUUGUAAUGUAUGGUUUAUAUACGCAAUGGGAUGGCGCUGACCAAGCACACUCGAGCUCUCUUGCAUCAACACACCUCCAACACCAAUAUCAAAAGCAUCCACACGCAAAAUAAAAGGUCGAGUGUAGUUAGGAUAUGCCAAAACCGGAGGAGUCGUCAAUAGCUUUUUGAGAUCCACAAACGUCUGCUCACAAUCCGAAAACCAGAUGAAAGAUGAUAAUAAUGACUUCAGCAACCCUCGCAACGGUGCAAUGCGAUCAGAAAAAUGAUCCACAAAACAACUGAGAUACUACACCUUGCCUAAGAAGCACUGCACAUCAUUCACACACUUCAGAGUAGGGAACUUUAGAACAACCACAAGUUUGUUAGGAUCAACUUGCAAACCCUCACGAGAAAUAUGGUACGCAAGAUAAGUUGUGUCUUUGGACCCAAACAUGCACUUCGACCGCUUCAGCUUUAAACCAACGUCGCGAAACCAAUCCAACACUUUACAAACAUCACGAAUAUGCUCCUCCCACGUCUCUUCCGAGUGGAUCAAAACAUCAUCAAUGAAGUCAAUAAUCACUUCUGGCAUAUCGCAAAGAACCUCGUCCAUUAUCCAUUGGAAAGUUGCUGGAACAUUGUUCAAACCAAAUGGCAUCACCAAGAACUCGUACAAACCAAAUGGGGUACGAAAAGCAGUUUUAGGAUUAUCUUCUUUGGCCAUCAGUACUUGCCAGUACUCAGAAGCAAGAUCCAGCUUGGUGAACCAAUGACUUUGCCCCAGACGAUCCAAGAGAUCAACAGUGUGAGGAAGAGGGUACACAUUCAAGAUCGUCACUUCGUUUAAUGAACAAUAGUCAAUGUAGAAACGAAUACUCCCAUUAGGUUUUGUCACAAGAUAAGGUUCACAUGCCCAUACCUCUGCUUCCAUUACUUUUGUUCCUCCACUAUUUCCUCUUAUGUUUUCGUCUUGUUCUGUUCUUCCUUAUUCUGAUCCCUCCAAUAAUCUUUGUGUUGCAACGGUUGACCAGCUCAUGAAAGAGUAUUCUAAUCUCUUUGAAUUUGACCUAUCCUCUAGGGCCAAAAUUGCCACACGUCAUCCGAUUCCAACCGGGAUGCUCGUCCAAUCAAGGUUCCUAUUCAAGGAGAUCAAGAUUUUACUUGCAAACGUAAAGGAGAUGUUGGACAAGGGUGUUAUUCGGAAGUUGCAAAGUCCUUGAAGUAGAGGGAUGAAGAAGUAUGGAAGUAAGAGGAAUGGAUAAAAUAUAAGGAAGUAUGAGACAAGGGGGAGAAGCCUCAAAGUUACACUUGGCAUGAUUGUGCUACAACUAAUCCAUACCAAGAAUGAGAUCAAAAGUUUGACUCAACACCACCCCCAAUGAUUGCAAUUCAAGCUCGAGAUCGCCCAUAUGCACAACCAAGUCUGCCUCAUCCCGUGAACAUGCAUGUGUACGGCUGUUGCCAUAAAGAAUGAAAACUGGUUUUGCCGCACGACGCAAGUGUAGACGGUAACGUAUGGCAACAGGUCGAGCAAUAGAAGAUAAACUCGAAUCUAUAUCAACUAACACGGAGAGAAUAAUAGGAGACCUCUUGUUAUAAAAAUGAGCUUGGAAAGUAAACACUGGAUGAACGGGUGUCGAAUGAACCCCUUGAUGAUACUCCCAAAAGAAAGAUGGAGGGGUCACUAACUUAUUCGCGCAAGGUCCCUCAGUUACUCGCGCGACUCUUUAUUUCCCAGAUACAUCUCAGUGUCCAAACCUUCCAUUACAAUAGCACCAACGGGAUGUUGCUGACGCCAAGGUCUUCAUCUAGGAAAUGGAGGUCGCCAAUCCAGAAAACCUCGACAACACCAAUAAGUAUGACUAAUUUCAUCAUACGCCCAGCAACAAACAUCACGGCCAUGGCCACGUCCUCGCCCUUAUCCUUGGACUCGAGCAGCAGGAACAUCAAACUCCAUUGGAACAAGACUAUCACCUAUAGGAAGUGGAACUGAAGGACGUGCAGCAAGAAGUGGAAAAGGUGACGUCUCAUAAUGUUGUGCCAAACGAAGAGCAUCGUCAAGGGUGGCGAGAGCAAGUGCAUGCACAAGUCCGACAAGAUCUUGACGAAGUGUUGGCCACAAUAUUCGUAGCUUGAUCCGCUCUGACAUACUUGGCUUUGCAUGAAGCAAAAGACUUCAAAAACGAACACUAAAUUGCAUCACCGACUCAAAUGGCCCUUGGCAAAGACGAUGCAAUUGUUGGAAGGCAUCAUCACAGUCAUCGGCAUGUCCAAAGGUGCAUUUGAAGAUGUCCAAGAGAACACUCCAAUCCUUACGAGUGGCUGCGCUUAAACAAUUGUACCACUGCAAUGUCGUCCCUUGGAGACACGUGGGAAACUCACGCAAACAUUAAGCAUCAUCCCAAGAAUGAUAUGUGGCAAUCAUCGUGAAGUGAUCGAACCAAUGGUACACAUCAUCCCCAGGAUUCCCGCGAAAGAACUCCAGCCAAAUGCGAGGAUUGGCACCAAGAGCAGGAGGAGUUGUACCCUAUGCUAUGAACACCACCAUUAACUGAGUUUGGUUGUUCAAUUGCAAACACAUAACAUUAAGCAAUUGUACCAACUGCUGCUCCAGAGUCAAAGGAGGAGAUUGUUGAUCAGCCAUGAAGACGAAUGAAAAAGAAAGAGCAAAAGAAGAGAAAUGACAAAAAGCUAGAAAGAAAUGGUAAAUCUAGACAAUGCAAAAAGCUAAAUCUAAACCAAAAGAAAGAACAAAAUAAAGGAGAUGGAAAAAGCUAGAUUUAGAUAAUGCAAAAACUAGAUCUAAACCAAAAUCCCAAAUCCAAGCACUCCUUAGGGACAAUCAAAGGUGCCCUUCAACUCCACUAAUGUGAGUGCUUAGAAUAUAGAAAGGAAAUUUAAAAAUAUGCAUAUCAAUUAGCCCAAAAGCCUAGUUUAUAUAUAAGAGUGAGUGGUCCAGAUUGAAACUAAUCUGACGGCUACAAAAAUCCCACUAUGCUAAUAUUAGUAUACAGUAUCAUAGCUGUACACUUGGCCCUCAUAGUUUAAUAUAAAAUAAAAUAAAUAUAGUAUUAUGAGGUAUGGCUACAGAUCUAAGGCCCAAGUACAUAGCUAUGAAUAUGAAGUCUAAAUGUAUGGCUACAAUACUUUAUAUUAAUAUUAUUUAUAUAAUAUAAUAUUUAUUACGUGCUGGGAUUUUGAUAGCUAUUAGAUUGGUUUCAAUCAAGACCACUCAAUCUUAUAUAUAAAUUAAAGGUUUUAGGCUAAUUAGAUAUAUAAAUUUCUAUAUUCCAUACACUCAUAUUGACAAAGUUGAGGGGCAGUCUUGAUUGUUUUUGAGGAUAUAUUUUUAUUUUAGAUCUAGUUUUUGGUUUAGAUAAUUAAUGUAGCUGUUUAAUGUUAUAUGGUUGAAACUAAACAAUUAACUUCAGUUGAUGGUGACAUUCAUGGCAAAUAGUGCAAAUUUUCUUACUUUUUUUACCCAUCUUUAUGUCUGGCCAAAUGUUUUCUAUAGAAAUCCCAAGAAUGAUAUUAAUCACUUUAAAAUGAUUGCCAAUUAUCAUUCUUGAAAUGAUAUUUAAUGUUUGCAAUGGUUUCCCAUAUGUCUCCAAGAAAUAUUGUUGUAGUGGUACAAGAGUUUAAGUGUGGAACCUCCUCCUAGAUGUCUUCAAGUAUGCAUUUCAAAAUGCUGAUAAUUGUGAUGAUGUUUUCUAACAAUUGCAUCAUUUUUGUCAAGGACCAUCUAAGUUAAUUAUACAAUAUAAUAUUUGAAUCUAGAGCCUCUUACUUUAUGUAGAGCUUAAGUAAAGAAAAAUUAGAAAUGUUUUCAAAAGAAAUAUAAAAAUGAUUUGCUACACUCUUUAAAUGUACCAAUGCUUUGUUUGUUUAAUAGUAGUGCUUAUUUUUUAUUAAUCUAGUUGAUUGAUAGAAUUUCUAAAUACAAGAUUAAAUUUAUUACACGUUAACCAUUAAAUGUUCUAGCAUUAAAUGUUAGAAUAUCCUAGAAUAUUCAAAUAUAUUCUAAAUAUCUACUACCAAAUUUAAAUGGGGACAGAGUUCCUUCAAGAUUUCCAAAGACAAUUCUAGGUAACUUAAUAUUUAAAAGGCCAAGUGUAAAUGGACAUCUGUAUUAUCUCAAUCAAACAAGUGAUAACCAACUUUCCAUUAUCCAAACAAACAUCCAUAAAACAUUUAUUAAAAUCAUGCAAAUGGAACCUGCCCAAGGCCUACAACUGGACAGCCCAUGUGCCUUCAGCCAUUAUCACUUUAUUGUUAUAGAUAGAAUUAUAAUAAAAAAAGUGUAAAGAAUAAAUAGAAAUUUCUAUGUUGUACUUAUUGAGUUUUUUCAAGUAAUCUACAUAUAGGAGGAGCUUGAACUAAGACGUAUCUCAUUUUAAUUUAAUUCUUAAUCUAGAUUUAUACUUAUCAUUAUAUUACCCUAAACCGUAAAUAUCCAAGAAUAUUUAAGAUAUUGUUUAAGACCAUAUCACAUUACCAUUCAAAUCUAACAAUUUUGUGGAGAUGUUUUUCAUAUCUCCAAUAACUUUUGACAGUGCAUAAGCAGCAAAGAAAUAUCUAACUUCUAACCAGUUUUCAGCUUCUGGACAUAUCACACUUAGAUCAUCACUGAAGUUGAACCCAAUUUUUGCUAUAAAAUAUCGAUUCCUAAACAUAAAUAUUUAGAUAAUUAAAUAUAAAAAUAAAAAACUCACAAAGUAUGAUGAUGAAAAAUUGCCAAAUAAUCAUCCAAUCCAGCCAACCUUGAAUCUGUAGAAAAAAUAAAAACUGUUUCUAAGAAAAUAUAAAAAGUUAUCUACUGACCUGACUCAGAAUACUUAAGGCUCAUCCCAAGUGCUAUACUUCUUAUAUGUUGAAGUUCAAAUUCAGUAGUUUUAAGAAUCCUAGCUGUUUGUAAAGCUUCCAGCACUUCCUAAAAAACAUAAAAGAAUAAAAUUUAUAAGAAAAUUCAAAUGAUAUAAUAUAAUACCAUGAUAGGAAUGUUGUACAUUGAUUUCCUACUUUGGAUCAAUGUAGACAGUUUAGUCCCAGGGUCCUUUUGUAAAUGCCGCUCUGAAAGUACAAAAACAUUUUAGAUUAAAAGCUAAAAAUAUUUGCUUGCCAAGAAAGAUCCUAAACAUCGCAUGUGUUGCCCAUCUCAUCACGUCGUUAGCUAAGCAAUUUGGAUUUUCACAAAGCAUCAUUGUAAGGCCACCACACUUGGUUUUUGAGCACGGAAUGUAUUUUGCAUUAGCAGCCAGCACAGCAGUGGAGAAUAAACAUUCUCCAGCCUUAGUCUGUGAAAGAACAGGAGUAAGCAUCACAGAAACGAUACUGAUUUACCUGAUAUUCUGGCAUGACAAGAAAAGUGAUUUACCUUAGAUUUUGGCUCGAGCAGCAUUGUGUCCUGAGAAUUGGUGACCUUGUCCAAUGUACCCCCACGAUCCUGUAAAAAAAUGAAAUGGAAUUAAACGUCACGAGUAAUAAGGAAGAAUGAUUUACUUGCGACUUGAGCAACAUCAUCUCUGUUAUUCCCUCUGAAUGCAUUAUGUCACAUACGGCCGCGUCCUUGGCCACCCUGCCCUGGACACCAAGCUUGUCCCAAAGACGAUCGUCAAAGACUGCCUUGGCAGGGACAAGCUUGGUGCCAGCCACACACGGCAGCACGUCGCGUAGAGCAUCUUCAGCGAAAAAGAGGCCCAUCUUUCUAUUGAUGCCAAUACCGCGGAGAUCCACCACGACGCACUUUCUGAUCCCGAUCGCGUCCACAGCGUCCAGCUCCUUGACAGGAUCCUCUCCACGGUCAUGAGACGCCUGGACGAACUUCCUGGCCGACAGUGUCAUGGGCAUGCCCCGGAAGUCGUCGUAGUUGACGACCCAGUCCAGAGAGCCAUACUGCAAUGCCUUGGUGGGAACCGCCAGAAGGAUGUAGCCAGUGGAGACCCGAUUCUGCCAGAUGGAUUCCUUAUAGACGAGGACUUGUUUAGCAUCAAGCUCUCCUAAAGUUCCAUCGAUCACGAAUUCCGCCGGAGGACCCCGACACCGCAGGCCGAGCUCAAACGUGGAAAUGCAGCCCACGGCUUCGAUCCUCCUGAUCUGGCAUGGCUCCAGCGGCGUCAUUGAAGGCUCCAUUUCGUUGUCGUACAAGUAGGCUGGAAUGCUCCAAGGCGCUCCCCAGUAAAGGGCAUUUGCAUGUGUACGACGCUGCUUGGGGCAGAUGUUUCCAUGAGCGUAGCUCAGGUGAUCAAGCAACGUCGUGUCGGGGCAGCCGCAUGCAGUCAACUGCCGGUUGUAGCAGAUAUCGCAGAAGAGGAACAAGGAGGUGGUGGUGUUAUCAUAGACGAGCUUGAGAGGAGGAGCAGGAGUACGAGGCCGAGCUCGAACCCGAGCUUGAGUUUCCACGAGCGUGCCGCAUCCGCGGGCAACUCCUGCACCCACAAGCUAAAUGUUAGCUGCGCUCUUGCGCUCUUCUACUCACUCACGUCCAAAAAGCCGCCGCCAGAACAUGCCGCCCAACCAGGAGCAAGAGUUUAUCUGCGAGUGUGCUGGGCAGAUCCACUUAUCCGCGAGUGUGCUAGGCAGAUCCACCGAUAGCUACCACCCUAGACACUUUUAGGGCAAGGUUCUUAGAAUAUUCCUUGAAACUCCAUCUAUAUAAAAAGUUAAUCUUUAUAAUGAACAUUUAAUUUCUUUAGUGAUCAAUGAUGCGGCAUCUCAAAUAUGUACUUAGAAUUAAAUAAUUCUUGCUAUCAAAGUUUUAGGAUCACCAACUUGAUCCGUUAGCCUCGUGUCAUAGGCACUCGUUUGUAGUAUUUAACAUCGGUUCUAGAGCUCCUUUUCCUAUCUUUCUAGGCUUCCAUAGUGUAGAGUUCUCUAUGGCUCACACUUUUCUCUUUGCUACUUCUCUCUUCGCUGUUCUUGCUAGCGCUGUUCUAGCUACCAACACCAACAACUCAUGUUUCCCAGGUAAGACUCUGCAAGCGAUUUUACAACCAGUCACAAGCUUUAUGUUCGCAGGCGAUGCCACCGUCCAAAUGUAUAACGGCGACCUCAAACUCAUGAGAGAUCUCGAAGUUGGAGACAAGGUAUUGUAUUGCUCUUAAGUUUCUCGAAAGCCCAUCUAAACGUGCCAGAUCUAAAGGUUGCAGUGAGCAAAAACGUGUUCUCCGAUGUCUACGCAUUCGGCCACAAGGACGCCGAUGUGAUCUCCGAGUUCAUCCAGGUCCACACCGCCUCAGACAUGAUCGAGCUUAGCGAGGGCCACUUCAUCCCAGUCGACGCCAAGGGAAAGCUUGUGUACAAGCGAGCCAAGGAUCUCCAGGUUGGAGAAACUCUCUGGGGAUCAUCUCAAAUCACUGGUAACAUCAUACUUCUUUUGAGACUUUGCUCUUACUUUUGACAAUUAUAGAACUUUCCAAGGUGGAGAAGCUGGGCCUCUACAACCCAUUCACUCUCUCCGGCAACAUCAUGGUUAACAACGUGGAGGCUUCCUCCCACAGCGAGUGGUUCCUGGACUCCCUCUUUGAUGCCAUUGGCGCAACUGAGUACCUCCCAUAUGCAUACCAGGCCGUGCUCGCUCCACUUCGUGCCAUCUACAACAUUGUUGGGAAGGAAAUCUAUGGAAAGGGUUAUGCUGCCGUCAAUUCUUGUGUCAACGUUGCUGAAUUUGGAAUGAAGCACGGAGGAAGCAUUGCUCUCACCGUUGGAAUCGCUGGAGUUGCAACAGCAAUGCUGGCCACGAAGUCUUGAGCAAAAAUCAGGAGUAAAUAAGAGAGAAAUAAUCACAAUCCAGAUCAAGUCAAUGUAAAUCUCCAGAACAAGAACAAAAGAAAUGAGUGAAGAAACUGUGUGAUGUCAAACAAAAGCUUCAUUUCAUGACAUGCAUCACAAAGAUGCAUAGAUGUUUUCCAAGUUUUUCAAAUGUAUAAGAGGUUCUAAAUGUAUAAUAAGGAUAGUGGGUAAGUCGGGCAUAGUUGACUAACCUAAGGUAUAGUUUAGCUUUUGUUUGUGUUUUUGUCAUUGUUUUGUGUCUGGAUUGGGUCUAAGCUUAAAUUUCAUAUUAUGUUAGUUGGUGGAGUAUUUAUAUCCUCGCAUUAGACUACUAGUAUGCUGAAAUAGUAUUAAAUUUCAUUUGGCUCCAUUUUACAUGUUAGUUCUAGCAUUGGGAUGGUAAAUGCUCUAAUGUUAUUUUAAGUUGCUUCACAUUCCUAUCCCUUCACUUUUUGUGCUGUACAUUCAAGAAUCCGUUCUAUGCUUUAGUGCUAUUACCCUUUAACCUUAUCUUAGGAGUUUGGCACUAUUCCUUCAUUCAAUAGUCUAAGGCCCUGAAACUCAAGUUCUACACCAUUGUCCUUGGGAUACAUGGCAUGUGAUAUAUAGCACAUGUGCUUCAUGGUUAUCAUAUGGUAAAUCAUCAUAGGAUAAAAAGGUAAAAAUCAUGUGAUAUAAAUUUUUAUAUUCCAUGCACUCACAUUGAUGGAGUUGAAGAGUAGCUUUGAUUGUCUUUGAGGAAUGCUUAGAUUUAUAUUUUUAAUUUAGAUCUAGUUUUUGGUUUAGAUAAUUAGUUUAGUUAUUUGAUGUUAUGUGGUUGCAACUAAAUAAUUAAUUUCAGUUGAUGGUGACAUUCAUGGCAAAUGGUGCAACUCUUCUUACUCUUUCUGCCCAUCCUUAUAUCUGGUCAAAUUUUUUCUGUAGAAAUCCCAAAGAUGAUAUUGAUCAUUGGUUCAAUCACUUUACAUUGAUUGCCAAUUAUUAUUUUUGAAAUGAUAUCUAAUAUUUACACAAGUUUUUCACAUAUCUCCAAGAGACAUUGUUGUAGUGGUACAAUGGUUUAAGUGUGGAACCUCCUCCCAAAUGUCUUCAAGCAUGCAUUUAGAAAUGUUGAUAAUUGUGAUGAUGCCUUCUAACAAUUGCAUCAUCUUUGUCAGGGACCGUUUAAGUCAGUUAUGCAAUUUAAUGUUUGAAUCUAAAGCCUCUUACUUCGUGUAGAGCUUAAGUAAAUAAAAAUCAGAAAUAUUUUCAAAAGAAAUAUAAAAUGAUUUGCUACACUUUAGAUGUACCAAUGCUUUGUUUGUUUAAUAGUAGUGCUUAUUAUUUAUUAAUCUAAUUGAUCAAUAGGAAGUUUAUAAUUUCUAAACACGAGAUUAAAUUUAUUACACAUUAACCAUUAAAUGUUCUAGCAUUAAAUGGUAGAAUAUCCUAGAGUAUUUAAAUAUAUUCUAAAUGUCUACUACCAAUUCUAAAUGGACAAUCUAUAUUAUCUCACUUAAGUAAGUGAUAAACCAAAUUUCCAUUACCUAAACAAACAUCCAUAAAUUUUUUAUUGAAAUCAUGCAAAUUGAACCUGCCUCAAGGCCUACAACUGGACAACCUGUGUGCCUUGGGCCAUUAUCACUUUAUUAUUAUAGAUAGAAUUGUAACAAAAAAAGUGUAAAGAAUAAAUAGAAAUUUCUAUGUUGUACAUAUUGAUUUUUUUCAAGUCAUCUACAUAUAGGAGGAGCUAGAACUAAGACAUAUCUCAUUUUAUAGCUAUUAAAUAUUAAAUUUAAUGCUUAAUCUAGAUUUAUACUUAUCAUUAUAUUCUAAAAUAUAUUACCCUAAACCGUAAAUAUCAAAUAAUAUUUAAGAUAUAACCCCUACUGAUUGUUUAACACCAUAUCAAUGUUUUUCAUAUCUUCAAUACAGUGCAUAAACAGCAAAGAAAUAUCUAACUUCCAACCAGUUUUCAGCUUCUGGACAUAUCACACUUAGAUCAUCACUGAAGUUGAACCCAAUUUUUGCUAUAAAAUGUCCAUAUUCCUAAACAUAAAUAUUUAGAUACUUAAAUAUAAAAAUAAAAAACUCACAAAGUAUGAUGAUGAAAAAUUGCCAAAUAAUCAUCCAAUCCAGCCAACCUUGAAUCUGUAGAAAAAAUAAAAUAACCUGACUCAGAAUACUUAAGGCUCAUCCCAAGUGCUAUACUUCUUAUAUGUUGAAGUUCAAAUUCAGUAGUUUUAAGAAUCCUAGCUGUUUGUAAAGCUUCCAGCACUUCCUAAAAAACAUAAAGAAUAAAAGUAAAAAAAUUUCAAAUGAUAUAAUAUAAUACCAUGAUAGGAAUGUUGUACAUUGAUUUCCUACUUUGGACAGUUUAGUCCCAGGGUCCUUUUGUAAAUGCCGCUCUGAAAGUACAAAAACAUUUUAGAUUAAAAGCUAAAAAUAUUUGCUUGCCGAGAAAGAUCCUAAACAUCGCCUGUGUUGCCCAUCUCAUCACGUUGUUAGCUAAGCAAUUUGGAUUUUCACAAAGCAUCAUUGUAAGGCCGCCACACUUGGUUUUUGAGCACGGAAUGUAUUUUGCGUUAGCAGCCAGCACAGCAGUGGAGAAUAAACAUUCUCCAGCCUUAGUCUGUGAAAGAACAGGAGUAAGCAUCACAGAAACGAUACUGAUUUACCUGAUAUUCUGGCAUGACAAGAAAAGUGAUUUACCUUAGAUUUUGGCUCGAGCAGCAUUGUGUCCUGAGAAUUGGUGACCUUGUCCAAUCUACCCCCACAAUCCUGUACAAAAAUGAAAUGGAAUUAAACGUCACGUGUAAUAAGGAAGAAUGAUUUACUUGCGACUUGAGCAACAUCAUCUCUGUUAUUCCCUCUGAAUGCAUUAUGUCACAUACGGCCGCGUCCUUGGCCACCCUGCCCUGGACACCAAGCUUGUCCCAAAGACGAUCGUCAAAGACUGCCUUGGCAGGGACAAGCUUGGUGCCAGCCACACACGGCAGCACGUCGCGUAGAGCAUCUUCAGCGAAAAAGAGGCCCAUCUUUCUAUUGAUGCCAAUACCGCGGAGAUCCACCACGACGCACUUUCUGAUCCCGAUCGCGUCCACAGCGUCCAGCUCCUUGACAGGAUCCUCUCCACGGUCAUGAGACGCCUGGACGAACUUCCUGGCCGACAGUGUCAUGGGCAUGCCCCGGAAGUCGUCGUAGUUGACGACCCAGUCCAGAGAGCCAUACUGCAAUGCCUUGGUGGGAACCGCCAGAAGGAUGUAGCCAGUGGAGACCCGAUUCUGCCAGAUGGAUUCCUUAUAGACAAGGACUUGUUUAGCAUCAAGCUCUCCUAAAGUUCCAUCGAUCACGAAUUCCGCCGGAGGACCCCGACACCGCAGGCCGAGCUCGAACGUGGAAAUGCAGCCCACGGCUUCGAUGCUCCUGAUCUGGCAUGGCUCCAGCGGCGUCAUUGAAGGCUCCAUUUCGUUGUCGUACAAGUAGGCUGGAAUGCUCCAAGGCGCUCCCCAGUAAAGGGCAUUUGCAUGUGUACGACGCUGCUUGGGGCAGAUGUUUCCAUGAGCGUAGCUCAGGUGAUCAAGCAACGUCGUGUCGGGGCAGCCGCAUGCAGUCAACUGCCGGUUGUAGCAGAUAUCGCAGAAGAGGAACAAGGAGGUGGUGGUGUUAUCAUAGACGAGCUUGAGAGGAGGAGCAGGAGCACGAGGCCGAGCUCGAACCCGAGCUCGAGUUUCCGCGAGCGUGCCACAUCCGCGGGCAACUCCUGUGCCCACAAGCUAAAUGUUAGCUGCGCUCUUGCGCUCUUCUACUCACUCACCUCCAAAAAGCCGCCGCCAGAACAUGCCGCCCAACCAGGAGCAAGAGUUUAUCUGCGAGUGUGCUGGGCAGAUCCACUUAUCCGCGAGUGUGCUAGGCAGAUCCACCGAUAGCUAUAGACACUUUUAGGGCAAGGUUCUUAGAAUAUUCCUUGAAACUCCAUUUUGCUUUCAUUCUUUUAAUGCUAUAUAAAAAGUUAAUCUUUAUAAUGAACAUUUAAUUUCUUUAGUGAGUCGAUGAUGCGGCAUCUCAAAUAUGUACUUAGAAUUAAAUAAUUCUUUCUAUCAAAGUUUUAGGAUCACCAACUUGAUCCGUUAGCCUCAUGUCAUAGGCACUCGUUUGUAGUAUUUAACAUCGGUUCUAGAGCUCCUUUUCCUAUCUUUCUAGGCUUCCAUAGUGUAGAGUUCUCUAUGGCUCACACUUUUCUCUUUGCUACUUCUCUCUUCGCUGUUCUUGCUAGCGCUGUUCUAGCUACCAACACCAACAACUCAUGUUUCCCAGGUAAGACUCUGCAAGCGAUUUUACAACCAGUCACAAGCUUUAUGUUUGCAAUCAAAACACAGGCGACGCCACCGUCCAAAUGUAUAACGGCGACCUCAAACUCAUGAGAGAUCUCGAAGUUGGAGACAAGGUAUUGUAUUGCUCUUAAGUUUUUCGAGAGCCCAGCUAAACGUGCCAGGUCUAAAGAUUGCAGUGAGCAAAAACGUGUUCUCCGAUGUCUACGCAUUCGGCCACAAGGACACCGAUGUGAUCUCCGAGUUCAUCCAGGUCCACACCGCCUCAGACAUGAUCGAGCUUAGCGAGGGCCACUUCAUCCCAGUCGACGCCAAGGGAAAGCUUGUGUACAAGCGAGCCAAGGAUCUCCAGGUUGGAGAAACUCUCUGGGGAUCAUCUCAAAUCACUGGUAACAUCAUACUUGUUUUGAGACUUUGCUCUUACUUUUGAUAAUUAUAGAACUUUCCAAGGUGGAGAAGCUGGAUCUCUACAACCCAUUCACUCUCUCCGGCAACAUCAUGGUUAACAACGUGGAGGCUUCCUCUCACAGCGAGUGGUUCCUGGACUCCCUCUUUGAUGCCAUUGGCGCAACUGAGUACCUCCCAUAUGCAUACCAGGCCGUGCUCGCUCCACUUCGUGCCAUCUACAACAUUGUCGGGAAGGAAAUCUAUGGAAAGGGUUAUGCUGCCGUCAAUUCUUGUGUCAACGUUGCUGAAUUUGGAA
rnacentral:lncRNA from 1 species